UACAGAGGUCUCAAGCGUUGUUCGGAUUCAUUGGGCGUAAAGGGUGCGUAGGCGGCGCGGUAAGUCGGGUGUGAAAUCUCGGAGCUUAACUCCGAAACUGCAUUCGAUACUGCCGUGCUUGAGGACUGGAGAGGAGACUGGAAUUUACGGUGUAGCGGUGAAAUGCGUAGAUAUCGUAAGGAAGACCAGUGGCGAAGGCGGGUCUCUGGACAGUUCCUGACGCCGAGGCACGAAGGCCAGGGGAGCAAACGGG
rnacentral:rRNA from 1 species